ACACUGACGUCGCGACGCAUAUCAAUAAGCGGAGGAAAAGAAACUAACUAGGAUUCCCUUAGUAACGGCGAGUGAAGCGGGAAGAGCUCAAAUUUGAAAUCUUCAAGGUUCUACCUUGACGAAUUGUAGUUUAAAGAAGUGUUUUCUGUUAGUGGAGUGGCUAAAAGUUCUUUGGAAUAGGACAUCAUAGAGGGUGAGAAUCCCGUAUUUGAUCAUUCCUUCUAGCUUUGUGAUACACUUUCAAAGAGUCGGAUUGUUUGGGAAUGCAGUCCAAAAUGGGUGGUAAAUUUCAUCUAAAGCUAAAUAUUGGCGAGAGACCGAUAGCGAACAAGUACCGUGAGGGGAAGAUGAAAAGAACUUUGAAAAGAGAGUUAAACAGUACGUGAAAUUGUCAAAAGGGAAGCGUUUGACACCAGUGUCGUUUUUCCGAAAAUCAAUUAUAAAUGUUUUGUUUCUGAGGAGUGAUGACUUCAUCGGCUUCCUUCUCUCUUCACGAAACUUUUGUAAUGCACUUUUCGGUUAACAAGUCAACAUCAAUUUCUUUUGUUGUAAAAGAGUAUUCGGAAGGUGGCUUUCUUUUCGGAGAAAGUGUUUAUAGCCCUAUACUUCUACAAUCGGAGAGAUUGAGGUCUGCAGCGUAGAUCCUUCGGGGUUAGAUACACUUGCGCUAAGUUAUAGCUUUUCAUAGACAACUUGUUGACUAUGUUUAGUCUUGUAGCUUACUCGCUUGUGCUAUUUUACCUACGCUUAGGAUGUUGAGUCGUAGAGCACGCAG
rnacentral:rRNA from 1 species